UCCGUUCCCGGCAUGUCCUAAAGAAUGU
rnacentral:piRNA from 1 species